rnacentral:rRNA from 1 species
UACAGAGGGUGCGAGCGUUGUUCGGAAUCAUUGGGCGUAAAGCGCUUGUAGGCGGCCUGUCAAGUCGCGCGUGAAAUCCCCUGGCUUAACCAGGGAAGUGCGCGCGAAACUGGCGGGCUUGAGUGCCGGAGAGGGUCGCGGAAUUCCCGGUGUAGAGGUGAAAUUCGUAGAUAUCGGGAGGAACACCAGUGGCGAAGGCGGCGACCUGGACGGACACUGACGCUGAGACGCGAAAGCGUGGGGAGCAAACAGG